rnacentral:rRNA from 1 species
UAAUACGUAGGUGGCGAGCGUUGUCCGGAUUUACUGGGCGUAAAGAGCGCGCAGGCGGCUGGUCAAGUCCGAUGUGAAAGCUCCCGGCUUAACUGGGAAAUUGCAUCGGAAACUGAUCGGCUGGAAGGUGGGAGAGGGUAGCGGAAUUCCCGGUGUAGUGGUGAAAUGCGUAGAUAUCGGGAGGAACACCAGUGGCGAAAGCGGCUACCUGGCCCAUUCUUGACGCUGAGGCGCGAAAGCUAGGGGAGCAAACGGGAUUAGAUACCCCGGUAGUCCUAGCCGUAAACGAUGAACACUAGGCGUAGUCGGUAUCGACCCCGGCUGUGCCGUAGCUAACGCAUUAAGUGUUCCGCCUGGGGAGUACGGCCGCAAGGCUA